ACUCCUACGGGAGGCAGCAGUGGGGAAUAUUGCACAAUGGGCGCAAGCCUGAUGCAGCCAUGCCGCGUGUAUGAAGAAGGCCUUCGGGUUGUAAAGUACUUUCAGCAGUGAGGAAGGUAGUGUAGUUAAUAGCUGCAUUAUUUGACGUUAGCUGCAGAAGAAGCACCGGCUAACUCCGUGCCAGCAGCCGCGGUAACACGUAGGGACCGAGCGUUGUCCGGAUUUAUUGGGCGUAAAGAGCUCGUAGGCGGUUCCGUAAGUCGGAUGUGAAAACUCAGGGCUCAACCCCGAGACGCCAUCUGAUACUGCGGUGACUGGAGUCCGGUAGGGGAGCAUGGAAUUCCUGGUGUAGCGGUGGAAUGCGCAGAUAUCAGGAGGAACACCAAUGGCGAAGGCAGUGCUCUGGGCCGGUACUGACGCUGAGGAGCGAAAGCAUGGGGAGCAAACAGGAUUAGAUACCCUGGUAGGCUCUG
rnacentral:rRNA from 1 species